AUUGAACGCUGGCGGCAGGCCUAACACAUGCAAGUCGAGCGGAUGAAGGGAGCUUGCUCCUGGAUUCAGCGGCGGACGGGUGAGUAAUGCCUAGGAAUCUGCCUGGUAGUGGGGGAUAACGUCCGGAAACGGGCGCUAAUACCGCAUACGUCCUGAGGGAGAAAGUGGGGGAUCUUCGGACCUCACGCUAUCAGAUGAGCCUAGGUCGGAUUAGCUAGUUGGUGGGGUAAAGGCCUACCAAGGCGACGAUCCGUAACUGGUCUGAGAGGAUGAUCAGUCACACUGGAACUGAGACACGGUCCAGACUCCUAAGGGAGGCAGGCGUGGGGAAUAUUGGAACAUGGGCGAAAGCCUGAUCCAGCCAUGCCGGGUGUGUGAAGAAGGUCUUCGGAUUGUAAAGCACUUUAAGUUGGGAGGAAGGGCAGUAAGUUAAUACCUUGCUGUUUUGACGUUACCAACAGAAUAAGCACCGGCUAACUUCGUG
rnacentral:rRNA from 1 species